rnacentral:lncRNA from 1 species
AUUAAUGGUCAUGAUCAUGCCAACAACUGUCAAUCAAUGCACUACGGGCCAAUGAGAACUUUUACCACAUCAUUUGUAACAUUACGGUCAUGAUUACACCGAAUAAUCCCUGGUCAUAAUCAUACCAAGUCCAUCUAUGCACUACAGGCCACAGAUGACUUUCAACAAAAUAUAAACAUGAGGAUGAUGACAAUGAUAUAAGAAUUCAAUAAAACAAGUUCAAGAAUUAUUUUAUCCAGGAAUUAUUAACGUUCAAAUUGUCAACAUGAUACUGUUUUGUAGAGUAAAAUUCAAGAAUGAUCAGAAGAAUAUUUUCAUGAAAAGAUACUGGAUGAAGCGCAAAUAUCAAGGAUAUUCUACUAAUUUCAUGGAGUAUAGAAGUCGAAACUUUAACCAACUGAGUAUAAUAAAGAAUGGAAUAACAAAA